AGGGGGGUGAAUUGGGUUUUAAAAUAAUUUAGCAAUUAAAACGUUUGUGGAUGACUAAUUAAUACUUUUGCAAGAUGAUUAAUUAGUUGCUAUGUGCUGUGAGUGAAAUGAGAGUAAGAGAGAGAGACACAAACAAUCACAAACACAAUGUUUUUAUAGUGGUUCGGAGCUAACCCUUGCUCCUACGUCCACUCCCCAAGUCUCACUUAGGAAUUCACUAUAACCCCUCGGAUU
rnacentral:lncRNA from 1 species